rnacentral:rRNA from 1 species
GAUGAACGCUGGCGGCGUGCCUAAUACAUGCAAGUCGAGCGAAUGGAUUAAGAGCUUGCUCUUAUGAAGUUAGCGGCGGACGGGUGAGUAACACGUGGGUAACCUGCCCAUAAGACUGGGAUAACUCCGGGAAACCGGGGCUAAUACCGGAUAACAUUUUGAACCGCAUGGUUCGAAAUUGAAAGGCGGCUUCGGCUGUCACUUAUGGAUGGACCCGCGUCGCAUUAGCUAGUUGGUGAGGUAACGGCUCACCAAGGCAACGAUGCGUAGCCGACCGGAGAGGGUGAUCGGCCACACUGGGACUGCGACACGGCCCAGACUCCUACGGGAGGCAGCAGUAGGGAAUCUUCCGCAAUGGACGAAAGUCUGACGGAGCAACGCCGCGUGAGUGAUGAAGGCUUUCGGGUCGUAAAACUCUGUUGUUAGGGAAGAACAAGUGCUAGUUGAAUAAGCUGGCACCUUGACGGUACCUAACCAGAAAGCCACGGCUAACUACGUGCCAGCAGCCGCGGUAA